rnacentral:lncRNA from 10 species
CUCCUGCCUCAGCCCCCACUCCAAAUAGCUGGGAUUACAGGCAUGCACCACCACACCUAGCUAAAAACACACCUGUAUUUUCAGUAGAGACAGGGUUUCGCCAUGUUGGUCAGGCGGGUCUCGAACUCCUGAUCUCAGGUGAUCCGCCUGCCUCGGCCUUCCAAAGUGCUGGGAUUACAGGCGUGAGCCACCACGCCCAGCCAUAAAUUUUGUAUUUUUAGUAGAGACAGGGUUUCGUCACGUUGGCCGGGCUGGUCUCGAACUCCCGACCUCAGGUGAUCCACUCG